GUCAAAUUAGAAGUUGCCUCUCUACAGUCAGGCAAAGGAGAAAGUUGGAAUAAGAAAAGCACACAUCCUGUUUCAAAGACAGAGAGAGGAAGAGCCAUGGAAAUCUACAAAAGAGAGUUGACUGCACACCUGGAAACUUUAAGAGAAUUUACGACACUGGGCCGAUGUAAAUUAUACUCUACAGAACACAAGAACUUGGGGGCAAGAUCUCAGAUAGUGAAGUAAUCUCCAAGAAAACACGGGAGCUGCCAGACACUGCGUGCCUAACAGGAUGGCUGCUAAGAUCCUCCUGAAGUGACUUCAUCACAGACACUUGUUGUUGACCAGCUAUUAGAGGACCAAAUUACUGUUACAGUCCAUUAUUGAGAGAAGCCUCGGGGCUGACACUGAAGCCAAGCACUGAAAGGAACGUGACUUCCUGGCUUGCUCAGCCGCCAGUCUUAGACAGCUCAGACCCAGCUGUCCAGCGAGGUACCACCCGUACAAUUAGCAACCAAGAAAACGCCCACAGGCCAAUAUGAUGGGGUCAAACCCUCAGAGGAGCGUCCCUCAUCCAGUUGAAGAAAAGCAGGCACCUCACCCACCAUGAUGGACUGACUGUACCAUUGAACUGGG
rnacentral:lncRNA from 1 species